AUUGAACGCUGGCGGCAUGCCUUACACAUGCAAGUCGAACGGCAGCACGGGUGCUUGCCCCUGGUGGCGAGUGGCGAACGGGUGAGUAAUACAUCGGAACAUGUCCUGUAGUGGGGGAUAGCCCGGCGAAAGCCGGAUUAAUACCGCAUACGAUCUACGGAUGAAAGCGGGGGACCUUCGGGCCUCGCGCUAUAGGGUUGGCCGAUGGCUGAUUAGCUAGUUGGUGGGGUAAAGGCCUACCAAGGCGACGAUCAGUAGCUGGUCUGAGAGGACGACCAGCCACACUGGGACUGAGACACGGCCCAGACUCCUACGGGAGGCAGCAGUGGGGAAUUUUGGACAAUGGGCGAAAGCCUGAUCCAGCAAUGCCGCGUGUGUGAAGAAGGCCUUCGGGUUGUAAAGCACUUUUGUCCGGAAAGAAAUCCUUGGCUCUAAUACAGUCGGGGGAUGACGGUACCGGAAGAAUAAGCACCGGCUAACUACGUGC
rnacentral:rRNA from 1 species